rnacentral:rRNA from 1 species
UGGUGGAGUGAUUUGUCUGGUUAAUCCCGAUAACGAACGAGACUCUGUCCUGCUAAAUAGUUCAGUGGCAUCGGUCCUCACGGACUACAGCUACUGCUGACUUCUUAGAGGGAUUCGCGGCAUUUUAGCCGCACGAAAUAGAGCAAUAACA